rnacentral:rRNA from 1 species
AAUCAACGCUGGCGGCGUGCCUAACACAUGCAAGUCGAACGCGAAAACCUCGCAAGGGGUGAGUAGAGUGGCAAACGGGUGAGUAACACGUGGGUGACCUGCCUUCGAGUGGGGGAUAACGUCCCGAAAGGGACGCUAAUACCGCAUAACAUCCUGCCUUUUAAGAGGUGGACAUCAAAGCUGGGGAUCGCAAGACCUAGCGCUGGAAGAGGGGCCCGCGCCUGAUUAGCUAGUUGGGGGGUAAUGGCUCACCAAGGCAACGAUCAGUAUCCGGCCUGAGAGGGCGGACGGGACACACUGGGACUGAGACACGGCCCAGACUCCUACGGGAGGCAGCAGUGGGGAAUUGUUCGCAAUGGGCGCAAGCCUGACGACGCAACGCCGCGUGGAGGAUGAAGACC